AGUGAACGCUGGCGGUAGGCCUAACACAUGCAAGUCGAACGGCAGCACAGUAAGAGCUUGCUCUUACGGGUGGCGAGUGGCGGACGGGUGAGGAAUACAUCGGAAUCUACUUUUUCGUGGGGGAUAACGUAGGGAAACUUACGCUAAUACCGCAUACGACCUACGGGUGAAAGCAGGGGAUCUUCGGACCUUGCGCGAUUGAAUGAGCCGAUGUCGGAUUAGCUAGUUGGCGGGGUAAAGGCCCACCAAGGCGACGAUCCGUAGCUGGUCUGAGAGGAUGAUCAGCCACACUGGAACUGAGACACGGUCCAGACUCCUACGGGAGGCAGCAGUGGGGAAUAUUGGACAAUGGGCGUAAGCCUGAUCCAGCCAUACCGCGUGGGUGAAGAAGGCCUUCGGGUUGUAAAGCCCUUUUGUUGGGAAAGAAAAGCAGCAGGUUAAUACCCCGCUGUUCUGGCGGUACCCAAAGAAUAAGCACCGGCUAACUUCGUG
rnacentral:rRNA from 1 species